AUAAGCGGAGGAAAAGAAACCAACAGGGAUUGCUCUAGUAACGGCGAGUGAAGCAGCAAUAGCUCAAAUUUGAAAUCUGGCGUCUCCGGCGUCCGAGUUGUAAUUUGCAGAGGAUGCUUCUGAGUAACCACCGACCUAAGUUCCUUGGAACAGGACGUCAUAGAGGGUGAGAAUCCCGUAUGCGGUCGGAAAGGUGCUCUACACGUAGCUCCUUCGACGAGUCGAGUUGUUUGGGAAUGCAGCUCUAAAUGGGAGGUAAAUUUCUUCUAAAGCUAAAUAUUGGCCAGAGACCGAUAGCGCACAAGUAGAGUGAUCGAAAGAUGAAAAGCACUUUGGAAAGAGAGUUAAAAAGCACGUGAAAUUGUUAAAAGGGAAGGGAUUGCAACCAGACUUGCUCGCGGUGUUCCGCCGGUCUUCUGACCGGUCUACUCGCCGCGUUGCAGGCCAGCAUCGUCUGGUGCCGCUGGAUAAGACUAGAGGAAUGUAGCUCCCCCGGGAGUGUUAUAGCCUCUUGUGAUGCAGCGAGCGCCGGGCGAGGUCCGCGCUUCGGCUAGGAUGCUGGCGUAAUGGUCGUAAUCCGCCCGUCUUGAAACACGGACCAAGGAGUCUAACAUCUAUGCGAGUGUUCGGGUGUCAAACCCCUACGCGUAAUGAAAGUGAACGGAGGUGAGAACCGCAAGGUGCAUCAUCGACCGAUCCUGAUGUCUUCGGAUGGAUUUGAGUAUGAGCAUAGCUGUUGGGACCCGAAAGAUGGUGAACUAUGCCUGAAUAGGGUGAAGCCAGAGGAAACUCUGGUGGAGGCUCGCAGCGGUUCUGACGUGCAAAUCGAUCGUCAAAUUUGGGUAUAGGGGCGAAAGACUAAUCGAACCAU
rnacentral:rRNA from 1 species